rnacentral:rRNA from 1 species
CAGCCGCCGCGGUAAUACGAAGGGGGCUAGCGUUGCUCGGAAUGACUGGGCGUAAAGGGCGCGUAGGCGGCUUGUACAGUCAGAUGUGAAAUUCCUGGGCUUAACCUGGGGGCUGCAUUUGAUACGUGCGGGCUAGAAUGUGAAAGAGGGUCGUGGAAUUCCGCGUGUAGCAGUGAAAUGCGUAGAUAUGCGGAGGAACACCGAUGGCGAAGGCAGCCCCCUGGGCCAAUACUGACGCUCAUGCACGAAAGCGUGGGGAGCAAACAGGAUUAGAUACCCCUGUAGUCCCUGUCUCUUAUAU